ACCUGCGGAGGGAUCAUUACCGAGUUUUCAACUCCCAAACCCUUAUGUGAACCUACCUAUCGUUGCUUCGGCGGACUCGCCCCAGCCGGACGCGGACUGGACCAGCGGCCGCCGGGGACCAUCAAACUCUUGUAUUAUCAGCAUCUUCUGAAUACGCCGCAAGGCAAAACAAAUAAAUUAAAACUUUCAACAACGGAUCUCUUGGCUCUGGCAUCGAUGAAGAACGCAGCGAAAUGCGAUAAGUAAUGUGAAUUGCAGAAUCCAGUGAAUCAUCGAAUCUUUGAACGCACAUUGCGCCCGCCAGCAUUCUGGCGGGCAUGCCUGUUCGAGCGUCAUUUCAACCCUCGACCUCCCUUUGGGGAAGUCGGCGUUGGGGACCGGCAGCACACCGCCGGCCCUGAAAUGGAGUGGCGGCCCGUCCGCGGCGACCUCUGCGUAGUAAACCAACUCGCACCGGAACCCCGACGUGGCCACGCCGUAAAACACCCAACUUCUGAACGUUGACCUCGAAUCAGGUAGGACUACCCGCUGAACUUAAGCAUAUC
rnacentral:rRNA from 1 species